rnacentral:rRNA from 1 species
GAUGAACGCUGGCGGCGUGCCUAAUACAUGCAAGUCGAGCGAACAGACGAGGAGCUUGCUCCUCUGACGUUAGCGGCGGACGGGUGAGUAACACGUGGAUAACCUACCUAUAAGACUGGGAUAAAUUCGGGAAACCGGAGCUAAUACCGGAUAAUAUAUUGAACCGCAUGGUUCAAUAGUGAAAGACGGUUUUGUUGUCACUUAUAGAUGGAUCCGCGCCGCAUUAGCUAGUUGGUAAGGUAACGGCUUACCAAGGCAACGAUGCGUAGCCGACCUGAGAGGGUGAUCGGCCACACUGGAACUGAGACACGGUCCAGACUCCUACGGGAGGCAGCAGUAGGGAAUCUUCCGCAAUGGGCGAAAGCCUGACGGAGCAACGCCGCGUGAGUGAUGAAGGUCUUCGGAUCGUAAAACUCUGUUAUUAGGGAAGAACAAAUGUGUAAGUAACUAUGCACGUCUUGACGGUACCUAAUCAGAAAGCCACGGCUAACUACGUG